UCCAGGAGAAGAUUGAUUCUUCACAUUCACCAUUUUUUUUUCACAUUUUCCACUAAAUUCUCCAAGAACAUUUCACGCUCUCUCUAGAAAAGAGCCUUUCAAGAAUUCUACUUGGGAUAUUUUCUUAGAUUUUGGAUCGUCAAACCCUCAAGUAUUGUUCAAGUGUUCUUAACUUGAAAACUCAUCAUCCUCAACCUUCCACUCUUCAAGGAAUCACAUAAGGAAAUCAGUAAACAGGUACUCACUCAGGUUUUGAAGAUGGGGCGUAGCAGCGUCAAGUCUUAGUUUUUGGUAUAGUUUUGUUGUCAAACAAACAAUGAUUCGAAUACAAAUGUGAACACUAUAUUAUUAAUACAGAUGGUUGUUGUUGCUUUGA